rnacentral:rRNA from 1 species
AUACGGAGGGGGCUAGCGUUGUUCGGAAUUACUGGGCGUAAAGCGCGCGUAGGCGGUCCGCGUAGUCGGGAGUGAAAGCCCAGGGCUCAACCCUGGAACUGCUUCCGAAACUUUAUGGCUAGAGUCCCGGAGAGGUUGGCGGAAUUCCGAGUGUAGAGGUGAAAUUCGCAGAUAUUCGGAGGAACACCAGUGGCGAAGGCGGCCAACUGGACGGGUACUGACGCUGGGGUACGAAAGCGUGGGGAGCAAACAGGAUUAGAAACCCCGGUAGUCC